rnacentral:rRNA from 1 species
UAGGGCACUGGAAGGUCCCUAAACCGAAAGGGGCUCUGCCCGCCCGAGGAUGGGCCGGCGGCCGAUUAGGUAGUUGGUGGGGUAACGGCCCACCAAGCCCAUAAUCGGUACGGGCAGUGAGAGCUGGAGCCCGGAGAUGGACACUGAGACACGGGUCCAGGCCCUACGGGGCGCAGCAGGCGCGAAACCUCCGCAAUGCUCGAAAGAGCGACGGGGGGACCCCAAGUGCCGUGGUACAACCACGGCUUUUCCGGAGUGUAAGAAGCUCCGGGAAUAAGGGCUGGGCAAGGCCGGUGGCAGCCGCCGCGGUAAUACCGGCGGCCCGAGUGGUGGCCGCUAUUAUUGGGCCUAAAGCGUCCGUAGCCGGGCCCGUAAGUCCCUGGCGAAAUCCCACGGCUCAACCGUGGGGCUUGCUGGGGAUACUGCGGGCCUUGGGACCGGGAGAGGCCGGGGGUACCCCUGGGGUAGGGGUGAAAUCCUAUAAUCCCAGGGGGACCGCCAGUGGCGAAGGCGCCCGGCUGGAACGGGUCCGACGGUGAGGGACGAAGGCCAGGGGAGCGAACCGGAUUAGAUACCCGGGUAGUCCUGGCUGUAAAGGAUGCGGGCUAGGUGUCGGGCGAGCUUCGAGCUCGCCCGGUGCCGAAGGGAAGCCGUU